UCGUAUUAUCUGAAGUCUCGGCGACUCUUCUUUAAAUUUUAUUACCGACACGAAAUUCUCAACGUUCUCGUUCUGUUCUCUCUCUCUCUCCCAUCAUGAGCAAAGUUCAUCACGGGGCAUUCUCGCAAAUCUUCAAAGAUAUCGAGAAAAAAUAUAUACAUUAAUAUAUAGAUAGGGGUACGUACAAUAUAUUUACUUCUCGAUAGCAAGAGUGGCCAAGGAAAAUGUUCCCGUAUAUUCGUUCCUUCGCGUUAAGCGCAACUUGCAAGGAUAAGCGAAUGCAAAGGAAAUACAUAAACGAGUGCGUUGCUUGUACGCCUUCGCAAAACGUGUCGAGUUGUUAUAUUUAGUGGUACGUUUGUAUUGUACACGCACAUAUAUAUAUUUUAUACGUCACGCUGGAUAUUCUGGAAUAUAAAUUGAAACUCUCGAGAUUUGUCCUUGCAUUUGUGUUAUCGAUUCUUAAUAACCGUGGUAGACCGAUCUCUUUAAGUCUCUCUCUUUCUCUUAUUUGCAUAUUGCAAAAAUAUAUCUCUAUGGCUAUCUCUGAAAUCGUGUUAGAAUCGUGAUAGUGAACAUUUUCAAAAAUUAUGGAGGAAGAAACUUUAUCGUUGAUUUAUGUUGCUUCUCAACGAAAGUAUUCACAGAAAAAGAGCAAGAAAGUUUUCUUUAGCAAAAACUUCCGAGAGAUCAUUUGGAUGGAUGUGUUGGUAAAUCUAUCUAGUGAAGUCCUUCUCACUAAAUAUAUUUACUUUUCACUCGACAUAUCUGAUCGUAGAGCGCUGUCCAACUCAAGUUCCCGGAUGCCAGCUACCGUCGGACGGCCUGUAUUCGCUCCGUAAGAUCUUAUUCCCGUCUUGUUGCAUUCUACGUGACUCAUUUAGGCCAACAAAUCGAACGCGCCACGACCAGUCUUCUGUCUCUCUCUCUCUCUCUCUCUCUCUCUCUCGCUUGCUCUUUUUCAUCUUGUCACGCUUUUUCUGCUUGAAUUUAAAUCAUGCUCGAUUAUUUCGGUAUCGCACACUUACAAAAUAUACGUAUUCCUUCCUUGAUAAUUACUCGCCUAUCGAAACGAGAUUGAAUUUAAUCGCGCUUAAUUAAAUAUUUUAUACUUAUUCAAAAAAUAUAAAUCGCUUUUAUAUACUCAUAUCUCUUGGGAGUGUUACUCAAGUACUCGUAGUUAAAUUUGAGUAAUCGCUAUAAAAUUUCGUAAUAAACAACAGACUAACAUUUUCCUCGAAGCAUAACACGUAGCAAUAAGAUAUUAAGAGUACUUAAGAAACACUCUGUUAACACGAAUCAAUUAAUUUACGAAUCUCAUCGAUCAUAAGAUAUAUAUAUAUAUAUAUAUAUAUAUAUAUAUGGUAUAAACGUGCAUUUACAAUUGCAGUUAUUUACACGCUAUUUAUAAAUAGAAGAAAAAGCUAUAACGCUUUAGAGUAGUUUCGAUGUGUGACAAUCGCACAAUCGAACGAUAGAGAAAAAUUAAAAAAAGUAGUUCUCAUAAUCAAACGAAAACGAUUUCUACAUUCAAGUUUCGAGUUUCCCUUUCUUUCGACGAGCAUUUAUAACCUUUUCGAGUGUUAGGAAAGCUACCCUAACGAUGACUAAUAAUAAUGUUAAAAUCGUUGGAACACCUGGUACCAAUGUUCGUAAAACCUUUAGUCCCUGUUUUCUAAGUAGAUGGAAUUUCGAAGGACAUUGGUCUCCACAUGGCUGCGUCAUGAUGCACAUAGGAACGUUAGAGAUAGGCGCCAAACGAGUCGUUAUGUUUGCCAGGAAACUGUCUCCGUCGAGUGCUUCACGAAAUAUUCUUUGUCUCGUAGCCAUCCAUGUGUUAUGCCCCGACGACCCACGCUGAAGACAAAUUUUUCAAAUAGGACGAAGCUUCUUGAUUCGUCAUCCUAAAUAAAAGAUAAGAAAUCACUUUUAUUUUUACAUUGGACAAUGACGUAAAUCGUUAAAUUCGAUUUAUAUACGUACUAAUAAAUUAUAACUAAAAUAUAUUGUCUGAAUUAUUUGACAGCAUAAAGGAUUAUGCGAAUGAAAUCAAAAAUUUAAUUGAUUUUAAUUUACCUAGUUUUAUAUUAAAGAAUUAAAUAAGAAGCAAUAUAUCCAUUGAUAUAUCACAUUAUUAUUCCAUGCUGUCAGCUAUGUACGAAUUUUUCUUCAAGAACCUGUAAAAAGACAGGAAACUAAUUAUUAUAAUUGUAAUUAAGGAUGGGUCGUAGGUUAAUAUGUACGGUAAUAAAUCAGAUAGAAAGAACUUCGUAGAGUCUUGUCAGAGUUUAAGUAUCGAUGGAAAUCAUUAAAGACCAUCGAAGGCUUUUACCGAUGCUAUGUCGAAUGGAAAAGAAUACGAUAAAGAAAAAAAGAGAAAACGAAAAGAUGAGAUAAAGAAGACGGAAAGAAAAUAACGUCCGUAUGUAUAUGAGAGAAAAAGAAAGAAAGAAAGAGCGAGAGCGAGAGCGAGAGCGAGAGCGAGAGAGAGAGAGAGCGAGAGCGAUAGAGAGAGAGAUGUAAGGUUCGACCGACCGAAUAUUUCUGAACUCGAAAACCCACUUAAGCGUUCGGAGGACCGAAGAUUAGAGGGCAGAACUCCAUGGGGCCUUUUCAGGGACCCAGGCUAUCUGUACUCGAGUGGCCCUCUGGCAGGGAGGUAGACCGAUAAGAGGGCGGUCUGGCUUGUGCGCCUUUUAGAAACGUCGCGACAAACUGUCGGAAAAAAAAACUCGCUAAAAGUCAGUCGUCGAAUGGAGGGAAAAAAAGGAAGGAAAAAAAAAAAGAGACGGAAAAAAGAGAGAAAGAGAAAAGUGAUAAAAAGAAAAAAAGAACAGCCAAAUUGUAAUAUUUAUGCGGGUUUUCUAUCUCUAUACUAUGUGCUUGAUACUUUCGAAUGACCUUGUUUUCGAUAUUUAUUUCGACGAGUUCUACGUAUUCCAUCGAUUUUGUUUCUUUUUUUUUUUUUUUUUUUUAUUUUGUUGAUUUUCCUUAUAAAAUAUUCAUAAACACAAUUCAAGAUCAAGACAUGUAUAAAUUUCAAGAGUAUAAAGACCAAUCGAUAAUAGUUUCGAGCUCAUCAAUAAUUAACACGUUUACCUUAACAUUUAUUAUAUUCCAAGAUUAUCGGCAACUCGAGUCGCAAAAUAUUCCUCCAACAUGUUUCCUUUAGCAAAGCAUUUUUCUUAUCCUUCCUACUCGUACGACGUAGAGAAGAUAAAGCUCUGCGAUAAAAGAUAUAGAAUCUUGACGAGGUAAACAACGAAAGAGAAGAUAGAAACAAAGGAAAAGCAAGGAAAAAAAAAAAAGAAAGAAAGAAAGAUAAAGAAGGAGAAAAUCAAAUAAAAGAGUUGCGAUAGCCUCUCGCGAAGAAUAGAAUAUUAAUAACAAUAAUAAUCGCGGCGAUAAUGAUAAAAAGAAAAGAAAACAAAAGAAAGAAAAAAAAAACAGAAAACGUAUGAACCUCAUAAUGACGUAGCAGGCAGCCAGGACGGAUAUCAAUGCAGAUAUAGCAAGUACAAAAACAGCGACGUGGAGCGGCCUUACCCGAUGUUGCAGAAAAUGAUUUGAAUCAAGAUUUUCGUUGAUCGUUGAUAUCGACUCCGAAGAGAUCGAAAUAAUUUGAUCUUGACUGCUACUCGAAGAAUUCGUGAACGACCUACUUGAGUUUAGCGAUAUCAGAUUGUUAUUUUGGUUAAAUUUAUUGCUCGAUUGUAAAUCGUCGUUUUGAUCUAUUCCUGCGUUAGAUGUUAAAUUAUUAUUUUGAUUCAUUCUUCCGAAUGAAAAUUUCUCUUCCUUUCCCACUUUUUCUCCUUUUUCCUUGAUCUUCUUUCUCUUUUUCCCUUCUUCUUUUUCUCUUUCGCGUAUCCACGUGGACAAGUCGCCGAGAUGAUCAGCGUUACAAUAAUCUUGACUGUCACAACACUUUAAUCUUGGCCAGGACAUACGUAUCCAAAGUCUUGUCGACGAGACAUGACGAUUUUCAACGAUCUCGUCGUUGUCUUUUGACGACGACGACGACGACGUUGAUAGCUUUGACCUCGUGACCCAAGACUUUGUCUCGCACAACAAUGGCGUUGGGCUCCUGGAAAAUGGCAAUCCAUCGUCUAUACCAUAUAUAUGUAUAUAAACGUAUAUCAUCCUAAAGAUAAAUAAAUUACAAUAUUUUAUGA